GAACCUUACCAGCUCUUGACAUGCCCGGUAUGGGCGGGAGAGAUCCCGUCCUUCGGUUCGGCCGGCCGGGACACAGGUGCUGCAUGGCUGUCGUCAGCUCGUGUCGUGAGAUGUUGGGUUAAGUCCCGCAACGAGCGCAACCCUCGCCCUUAGUUGCCAUCAUUUAGUUGGGCACUCUAAGGGGACUGCCGGUGAUAAGCCGCGAGGAAGGUGGGGAUGACGUCAAGUCCUCAUGGCCCUUACAGGCUGGGCCACACACGUGCUACAAUGGCGGUGACAAUGGGACGCAAUGGGGAGACCCUGCGCAAAUCUCAAAAAGCCGUCUCAGUUCGGAUUGUGCUCUGCAACUCGAGCACAUGAAGUUGGAAUCGCUAGUAAUCGCAGAUCAGCACGCUGCGGUGAAUACGUUCCCGGGCCUUGUCACACCGA
rnacentral:rRNA from 1 species